GUGCUUUCACAAGCAAGUUGCAAUACAAUGGCUAUUUUCAAUUCAUUUUCAGCUCAUAACAGGAUCUAUAUAAGACAAAAUGAAAAAUCCAGUGUUUCCUUAUUUGUAGUUAAACUCAACCUUUUAUAUACCAACCAAAGAUGCCCCAUGAAGCUUAGAGAAGUUAAAGUGUGCUCAUAGGGUUCUGCCCUAGCAACAUAUUAUGAGAAAAAUGUAUUUUCUAUACAUUUUAGAAUAAUUCACUAAAUUAUAUCUAAAUGGAGUAAGCAUUUAGUGGACUUUUUUACUAAGUACAUGUGGCAAUCUGAUUCUGUUUAAAAUGCUAAUAAAUGCAUCCCAUCUCUAAUGAAACUAGUGCUCCCUGCAUAAUUAAUUAGCAUUUAAUACAGAUGAGGACAGGAAAGCCAUAUUCACAGUCAUUUUUAACCGGAAUAGUUAAUAAAAGAAUUCUUCACAGUUCUGAAAGGUCACACGUGAAUAGCUCAUUUCUGCAAAACGGAUAUUUUUUUGCAAGUAAAAAUUUUAGUGAAGUUUACCUGGAAUCGUUGGUCCAUACAGCUUUUAUCCACAAGGUGGCAUUCCUAACAGGAGUUUACAAGACAUGGUAAUUUCUUGCAGUUUUUCAAGAGCUCUAAGUGAAAGGCAGUCAUAAGCAUUUGUAAUGUUAUAUGAGAUUUUUAUGUUUUAAUUUUUAUAAAAUGCAAUUAACAGUAAGUCAGAAACAUUAAUGAUAAUUAGUUUAAUCCUGAUUGAUAUGUGGAGUACCCAGAAAUAUGUGAUGGUUCCAGGUCAGCAAAACAGCAUAUUAAUUCGUGGCAUUAUAUGCUACUAUGGACACUUUCCAAUGGUAAAUCCGGAAUCAGUUUUUGCUUUAAUAAAAGAAUAUAAAAUAAUAAAAAAAUCAAUUAUUUAAAUCAAGAGCACAAAUAAUAUCAUGGUCUUAUAUGCAAAACCCCAGUGUUUGGGGUUUUGGUUAUGAUGCAGCUUUUAGUGAAUGCUGGGUUAAAGAAGAGCACAUAACAGUAUUCACAGGGGAGGAUUUUUCAUAGCUUAAUGUUACAAUGACCAAGAAGCGUAUUUUCAGAUGCCUGUCAUCCAGGUUGGUCACCGAGCCCACAGGCAGCCCUGCUUUCUUUCAGGCUUUAUAUCUUUUUCACUUUCCUGUAAUCUUUGCAUGCUAUAUAUAUGUAUAAAAAGAAUACAUUGCUCGUUAUUCAUUUUAUACAAGCAUGAAGGGAGUGUAAUACAACCUGCUAAACCAAUACAAGUGUACUAGGUUUUAUAUAACAGAGACAUGCAUAUUAUGCUUUUCUCUCCCAUGGGUAAGGUCCUGAUCUUACUUUUGCUUCUUUUGCUGACUCUGUAAGAUCAGACCUGAGCUAAGUAAUCAUUUCUGUUUCCCUUUUAGCUAGUGCCCUAGUUGCAUUUUGUUUGGAAAAAAAGCUAUAACCUUAAGUUUAUGCUUAACUGGAAUCCAGUGUAAACUGUGCAAUUUUUUUCAAGUCUAUUUCAAGUCAACAGAAAGGAAUACGAUAGAGUAGUUGUUUAUUUAUUUGUUUGCCUUAUUGUUUUGUGGUAGCAAAAAUUCUGUGGUGUCUUUUCUAAUGCAUGUGUACAUUUCCUGUUAAUCCUUCUGCUCCACGUGCUGCCCCCCACUGAUGCCAGAACCCUCUGGUUUUGCUUCCUAUCAUUUAACACAGCUGAGAGGUUGGAGUAGCAGCUACAUCCACUGCUGACACUAAUGACAGUCUUUGCUGAGAGACAGGGUACUACUUUGACAUUAAGCAGAUAUUCUUUUUCCUAACAUGCUGUUAUACCUCUUUCAUUUCUCAAAGAUGGCUAUGAAAAGCGGAAUAUGAAUUCUUGUUCACUGAAAACAACUGUCAGUCAAAAAAACCCGACUUUCAGAAUGAUUGGGCAGGUAGAACCUACCUGCUGGAUGAAUCUGGCACAAGGACUGCAGAGACAAACCUGAGUUAUUAUUGUCUUAUGAUGAUUACCAGUAAAAUUUGAGGGCCUGAACAUCUCCUAUAUACUGCCAAUUUUAAAGAAAUGUGGUGAAAAUGUCUAUUUCAAGGGUGUGGAAAUGGCUGGACAAAGAAAGUUAUACAUAAUAAUUAGGAAAUGUUGAUGAGAAAGUAAAUAAUUUGUGAGUGUUACCUUUCAAGUUACACGUUGAAUUUUCUUUGUAGUAGUUAGAUAUAGCAUUAGGUGAGUAGAUGGGGACAAGGUUCCUCUGAGAAGAGCAACGAGCCUGUCCUAGGGAGGAGGUUUAAAAAUAGGGAAAACAAAUGUACUGAGGAAAGGAACAUUCUCUGCUUUGAUGACUGCCAUGUAGAAAGGACUUGUAGUGAAGGAUAGUCUGUAAACAGACCUAUACACAGCUAAACAAGUGAACAGGUUAGUCAAGGUAAUGGCAGGGUUCAGGGUCCCCCCAAAAGCCAUAAUGUGUAGGUGCAAUGGACACCACCAGUAGAAAUCAGUGGUCUUGAGCAUUGCUGAUGUUGUUUCUGGGACAUCUCAUGAUGUUGGAUCAGAUGGACAUGUACUCCAGCUUCCAGAAAUGCGGGAAAGAGAUUGCACUGAAUUUGUCCUUUUGCCUGAGUUAUAUGACAGCAACUAAGAGUUCAUAUAACCAAGAGCUUGCAGGUAACACUGUCAGAAAAAAAGUCCAUACUGACUGCAGACGAAUAAUAGUCCUGAUACUUUAUGAUGGAUCUGCAAAUUACUUUGUUAGUACAAAGCACGUCAGGGGCUAAUUUGAUGUGGUUUAUUGUUUGCAAGAGGUGGAUUAUAAAUGUUGGGAAUUGCAUCUUAUGUAACUGCUGCUGGGUAGGCAUAGGUAUGAGUAAGUGUGAACUGGGAAAGGAGAAUGAUACUGGGAACUGUAACCACAAGUAUUAUCACUUCCCAUAUGUAACAAACUUGUGCCUAGGGCAAGGAAGCACAAUUACUGACAGAAGCUGUGUUUGUUCAUGCAAGUGAUUUUAUUGCUCUAAGUGAUUUAUCACUGUGGAUUAUGUUUUUUGAUGAAAGACUUUUCUGGAAUAAUUGUACUCAAAAGGAAAUGAGUUGUUUAGCUUCAAUAGACAACCACGUCUGUCCAUUGAAAAUAAGUUACAUUUUUAAAGUACUUUUAUAAGGGUUUCUAAUUGGUGGGAUACAACGGGUCAUUAUGCAAUAUGGGGGUUUACUUCCCCCAGUUAGUAACAUAAUCUCUUUCUCUCUCUCCCUUUCACUUCCUCGGUCUCAGAAAUCUAGAACUACACAUUUUAGAAAAUCAUCAGAUACUUAAAUAUUUCAUAUACUUCCAAAUUAUAUGAUUUCACUUUAUCUAUUAUCAAAAGAAUUCUCUGAAUUUAUAUUAGGUGCUGAAGAUACAUUGAUGAUUACUGAAAAACAGUCCUCAUUUCCUUUACAAAAAGAUGUUACAUUUUCAAAUUGCGCAGCACCUGAAUUGCCAGAGUUUCUGUUCCUUGUGCUCCUGGAUCACUGAUGGUAAAACUCUUACUUUCUUAUGCAUUUAUAUUGUUGUAAAAAGAAAUAGUUAUAAGUACAGGUACCUUCCUUCUCAGAGGCAUCUGAAUGCAAAACAGACACAGUUAUCCACUAUGGUACUUUGGCCUGACACGGGAAUUACUUUACUAAAGGCAAAUCAAACCUAAUACCCAGUCAACCCCUGUUCAAAUGCAGAGUGGCAAAGCUGAGCCGGAAGAUACCAAGUGAAAAGUGAACUUUCCAAUGCUGUAUAAAAGCCAGUUGAAAACUACUUCACAAACUACUAAGAUCUCUGUAGUGCCCAAUACCACAAAUUGUUACUCAUUUCCGCAAGGCACAGCUGACAGCUGACGGGGGAAAUGAAGAAAUAUAAAUUACUUUUCUUUUUAAAUCUGUCCAAAAUAACAUUUGCCUUCUGUGAGCACUUAGCUACUUGUGCUAAGCCUUGGGGUGAAGAGUGAGUCUCCCACCUCCCAAAGUGGUGGCUCUUUUGUCAGUUCCGGGGCAGCAGAAGAAUCAUUUUCAGUGAUGAGAUUUUUUUUCCCUGUAUUAAUGCAUGAUCUGUUUCAUAAAUCAAAUUACAUAUAAAUGAAACAGCUUAAAAGUAAUUGUGCAGCUGAGCAACUGAUGAGUUAUUGUGCCUUAUGGCUGCUGUGGCUGUGUGGGUAAGCACGAAAAAGACAAAAAUUGGUCUCUUUAACCUCCAGUGUCCCUUCUAUCUCCCCUAUGAGUUUCCUGUCACUUUAAUUUAGGAUGUAUUUUGAUCAACUUAUGAAAUCAAUUAUAUGAUACAUUUGUCUCCAAUUCCCCAGAAACAAUUAUCCAGUCCUGUGUUCCUAAAUUCCCUCCUGUACGCUGCCUUACUAUGUUUUUUUUUUUGAUAGCUGUAAUAGAUGUUGUUAGUGACGAUGCUGUUUGUAGAUCUGGUUUUAGAGGUUAGACAGAAGAAUUAAGCAACAUUUGGAGUGUCAUUGAGACCACCUUGGUAAUUUUUUUUGGUUUGCAAAGCAGAUGUCUCUAUAAUGCACUCAAAUUCUUCACCGUCACCCAUUGUCAUAAAGUCAUUUUAGCAUAACUAUUUUUUAAUUCUCUAAGCCUUUUCAUGGAAUAAUUUAAAAUCAGUCUUUGUAGGAUAAAUUUAACUCUAUAUUACAACUCAAAAUACCAGAAUCAUAAAAUUUAGAAAAAAAUAUUCUUGUAAUAAGCAUUUUGUAAUUAAUUUAAUUAGGUUUCUUCCAGGCUGAUACUUGGACUGCAAAUUGAGAGUUUUAUUUCCCUUUUGGCCUCAGGUAUCCUCUGAAAUGUUCAGACUUAAGUUCUGUGAACUGUGUUGUCAUUUUGUGUUGUGACACUGUGUUGUCACUCUAAUUCUGACAGCAGGAUUUUACAAACUGCCAUGAGUUCUGAACAAAAGGAAAAGUGUAUGUAUGCAACUAUUUUCAGUGGAUCGGAAAACCAGGAGACAUUAUUUUGUUAUUAUAACUUGCCCUAAGAGGAGAAGAGGUGCAUAUGUAUGAGCAUGCAGAUAUUUGAUAAGCUGAUAUCUUUCCCAGAAAGCUUGAAAGUGGUGGUUUUUGCAACAUUUCAAAUUGAUUAGGGGAUGUUGGGUUUUUUUUCCUACUCAGAUUCAUGAAGGAAUGACACAAAAAUUAAGAGCUAUUUUUAAAAUCAGACUUUGAUAUGUAGAAAGUAAUAAAUGGGGGGAAAGUGGUAGCAAAAGUCAGAUCCAGUGAAUAGUGAGAAACUGGACACAAUUCUGCCAAAUGUCUGUGAAUUGAUGCCCAAGACUGAAAUUCUGACACCUUAAACAGUUCUUUUAAACAUGGCCAUGACUAAAGCAGGCUGUUUCUAGCCUUAAAAUCUUACUAUAAAAGCAGAGCUGUGGUUUUCUUGAGAGAUUUUUGUAAAUUCUUGCUGCAGAGAGGCUAGGUAGCAGGGAAACAGCUUUUUAGGGGGAGCUGAGAGGGGUGGUUCUACUUUUUGUCCGGCAAUAAUUCUGAUCUAAAGGAAUAAGAAAGCAUUGAAAAUUUUAUUUAAACCUCAGAAAUUGUAUUUAACAUGGGAUGGGCAUUUAUAGUUUAGCAGUCUGUUUAUCUGAAGCUGUAUGACUUCUUCCUGACUGUGAAGGUUCCCAGGACAUGUCGUUCAGUUUACUGUGUGUUUUGAGAGACAGAAAACAUGACAGAAUUUAUGUAUAUUCACAUAAAUAUAUAUAUAUAUUUAAUGUAUAUAUAUAUAUACAUUAUAUAUAUAAUGUAUAUAUAAUGUACAUGCAUACAGACUGUAUACAUAUUUCAGUUUAUUGUGUGCACAGAAUAUCAUGCUCCCACGCUCAGGAACACAGCGUGGUCCACAGCCCAGGGCCCCAGCUGGCCUUGGCCUUUGGCUGGUUUUGUGCAGCACUGUUGCCUGACCUUGGCUCACUGUCACUGAGAAGGCUGUCACUGAGCUCUGAGAGUCUGUAAACUGAAACCGUGUAAGAUAAGAAAAGUAAAAACAGGCAGAACUGAAUGUGCUGAGCUGGGAAGACUGUCUUGGGGACUGGGGACAAACACUGACAUGGAAUCUAUAAAACCUGAGGGAGAAAUCAGAGACGUAGAAGAUGGCAUCUCUGCAGCUGUGAGGACUUGUACUGAAGUACUGGGGUAGUUUGACAUGACUGAAAUGCUUUUCUUAUAAAAAAUAAAGUCUGCAACACCAAUAAAAAGUAACAGAAAUCACCUCAUAUGCUUUUCUCUUCUUUCCCCCUCUCUCUUUUCCUUUUCCACAUUUUUCCUGCACUGAUCCUCAUCUCGUCAGCUCCCUCUGACCCAUCUGAAAUACGCUUCUCUGAUCAGCCUCUGGUCAAAAGUGCCUCUUGAUACCUUUUACUGCUCUGCUCUUGUUUCACUCCAUGGAAUCACGUGAAUCAUAUAAACCCCCAAGGCGCACUUGGCAUGUGGUACUGUCGUCUCCAGUGUCCACACUGGGAUGGUGGUGUGGCCCUGGAGCGCUGCAGUGACCAGCCAGCCCUCUGCACUGCCACGCAGGUGCCCAGCUUGGCAGCAGGGCUGGAGGGGUGAGAACAACAUUCCCAGCCCCAGUGUGGUUAAGCAAGCAGAAGGACAUUGGACAAAAGGGCCUACCUGGACAAUUUAAGAUGGACUGCAAGCAGAAGAGAAGUAAUUCAUUGCUGUGAGAUAAAACCAUCAGUAUAGAGUAACUGCUAGAAAUCUUCAUCGUGCCCUAGGAAGGAGUCCAGGUGCUUCUAUGCCACAAGAAGUUUAAACAAUGUUCAGCUGUGAACUAGGACCCAGAAUAAGGAUGCAAAGCAAAUGCCUGUUGACAUAUACAACCUGUCCCAGGGUAAUGAGAGUGCAUUAGAGGACUGGGAAGAUCCCUAAAACCAAACUGCAGGGUAAAAGAGCUACUCCAAGAAGUGACUGUCCACAUGUGAACAUGAACAGAACAUCAUGCUUUCCAAAGCAAUUACAAUUCUCAUUCACUCUUUCCAUCUCCCUCAUGCUUGCUGUGUGUAAUGAAGCUGAAAGACAACAAGGGACAUGGUCACUGGAGAUACUUGUCAAGCCUGUGACUGAAGCUACUGAAGUUCUCUACUGAUAUGCCACGUGAAAGCUUUGGUAAAGAAGUGCUACACUUCCAAAGUCAAACAUUCAGUUACUAGGAGAUAACCAAGUCAUAUCUUCCAAGGCAGCCUUAGCUCAAUUUUCCUAUUUAUGCACGUUAUAAUAUAGUAUUUAAUUAUGUCACCACAGAUAAGUUAUUCCUGAAAUUUCCUCCUAAUAACUUCUCUGAGCAUUUGUGUAUCUAUAUAGCUCUUAGAGCUGGGCCUUUAUUUCUCCCAGAAAGGACUGUAUUAGAACCCAGCAGAGAGAGAUUUGAUCUAAACUCUUGAUUUCCUAAAGUCUCAGAGGCAAAGUCAACCUGGCAUGACAGCCCUUAGUGAGGAGAGCUGGGGGCUUGGCCCACAAAGUACGAAGUGGAGCUGUGUGUCUGUCUGUCCCACCCACUUCUCCCUUAUAUUUUGCUAGAAGUACAGUGACCAAAGUGAUGGCUCAGUGCCUCCCCAGCAAUUCAGCCCCACCACUUGCUGAUUAACCAAAAGCCCCUUGCUCAGUUGGAAGAGCCCAUCCAUGCUAGCUGAGGAUUGAAGAUUUUAUUUUGCUCUGGAGAAAGGAAAACUGCACUGUAGUUUUAAAUCCUUUCACAGAGGAAGGGUAUAGAGCAGGUGGCCAAACAUGCUAAGGAGGACUUUGGACUCAGGCUAUGGCUGGUCUGAGACUGGGAGGUGUCAGGAAACACCUUGCAAAACACUGGGAGUAAGAGUGGACAGCAGCUCUGCAAUUUUCAUUUUCCUUUCGGCAGUAGCUAAUUAGUCUCUGUGUAGGGAACAGGUUCCCGGUGAAAAGCAAAGCCCUGCACUGGCCGUUACCAGGCAAUUAUUCAUUGCCAUUCAAGCAAUUAUUGCUGCCUCUGGGACAGCAGCUACUUUCUACUUUGAGAAACACCGGAGACAACUUUCCAUUAAGCAGUCACUCUUGUUUACAGGAAAAUGCACAAAUAAAUAAUAGAAAUAAUCUACCAAGGCAAAAUUUGAUCGUUUUGAUUUUUAAGUGAAAAACCUAAGGGAAGACACUGAUGUAGAACACACUGAAGGUUUUUGGCUCUACCUGGGGAAAAAUAAAACCUCUAAAUAGUUGAAAGCCUUUUCUCUAAAAGAUUUACCUUAUGUUUUCAAAAAUUAUGAUAACCUCUCCAAAUAGGUAGAAAAAUAUCAGUAAUCCCAAGUUUGUGGGGGAACAAAGAACUUGCAUAGCUUUUCUUUCAAAGACUUAGUUGCUUUCAAGUGUUCCAGUUGCUGAUUAUUUCAAUAGGAAAGUUUGAAAGGAUGAAUGUGUCUGUUCGAUGCCAAGUGACACUCAAGAUGAUCCUUGCUGCAUGCGCUGGCUCAGGGUUGCUGAAGACCUGUGUUUGAAGCCACGUGAACAGCAGUGAGGUUGCACAUUCAGUGCCACACAGAGACAUCUGCAGUUUAACGGGAAUUUCUUUGUCUGGAUAUGAGCACUGUACAUGCCUAGGUCUCCAUUACGUUCGGUUUCGAGGUUUCUUGCAGGACACUGAUUUAUAAAAAGCUGGUUAGAAAUAAUGAAUGGGAUCAAAUGGAAAUGAACGGCGCAGCAGGGAGAGGAUCUGUCCUUUUAACAAGCCGUGGCAGUAACAGAUGAAGCAAACUGGCCUUCCCUGGCUCUGCAGCUUGGCUGGGGAAUUGCUCUCACAAGGGAGCCGAGCCCACAAUAGCGUGGUAGCACAAUCGCUCAUGAAACUAGAAAUGUUGCUCUCCUGGAGGGCUUACGUGGCACAUCGUUGUGCAGAGCUGGGGAAAUAAGGUGCGCAUUUCUCAUUCGAUGAUGAUAGUAGGCUUUUUCAGGAGCUUUGCCGACUUCCCACAUCAUACUUUCGUAGCCUAAAGCGGGUCAAAGCCGGGAAGACCGUGGCAGCCUGUGCUCUGCUCGGG